GGCCCUAUAGUUCAAGGGAUAGAACGAAAGUUUCCUAAACUUUAGAUAGCAGUUCGAGUCUGCUUGGGGCUA
rnacentral:tRNA from 1 species